rnacentral:rRNA from 1 species
AGAUACCCUGGUAGUCCACGCCGUAAACGAUGAUUACUCGCUGUUGGCGAUACACUGUCAGCGGCUAAGCAAAAGUAAUAAGUAAUCCACCUGGGGAGUACGGCCGCAAGGUUGAAACUCAAAGGAAUUGACGGGGGCCCGCACAAGCGGAGGAACAUGUGGUUUAAUUCGAUGAUACGCGAGGAACCUUACCUGGGCUUAAAUGUAGAGUGCAUUUUCUAGAGAUAGAAAUUCCCUUCGGGGCUUUCUGCAAGGUGCUGCAUGGUUGUCGUCAGCUCGUGUCGUGAGAUGUUCGGUUAAGUCCGCUAACGAGUGCGACCCGCGCUGCGUGUUACAAGUGUCACACAGUACCCCCGGUAUUAAGUCGGAGGAAGGUGCGGAUGAUGUCAAGUCAGCAUGACCCUUAUAUCCAGGGCUACACACACGCUACAAUGGUCAGCACAAUAGGUUGCCAACCCGCAAGGCGGACCCAAUCCUCCACAGCUGGCCUCAGUUCAGCAGGCCGGCCGCAACUGACCUGCACGACGUCGGAGGCGCUAGUAACCCCAGGUCAGCAUAAUGCGGUGAAUACCUCCCCGGGGAUCGCACACACGCGCCCGCAAGGGCGA